GCGAGGGUGGCAGAGCCUGGUCAAAUGCGCAGGACUUAAGAUCCUGUCCCCCAGCGGGUCCGUGGGUUCGAAUCCCUCCCCUCGCA
rnacentral:tRNA from 2 species